rnacentral:rRNA from 1 species
GAUGAACGCUAGCGGGAGGCCUAACACAAGCAAGCCGAGCGGUAUUUGUUCUUCGGAACAGAGAGAGCGGCGCACGGGUGCGGAACACGUGUGCAACCUGCCUUUAUCUGGGGGAUAGCCUUUCGAAAGGAAGAUUAAUACCCCAUAAUAUAUUGAGUGGCAUCACUUGAUAUUGAAAACUCCGGUGGAUAGAGAUGGGCACGCGCAAGAUUAGAUAGUUGGUGAGGUAACGGCUCACCAAGUCAAUGAUCUUUAGGGGGCCUGAGAGGGUGAUCCCCCACACUGGUACUGAGACACGGACCAGACUCCUACGGGAGGCAGCAGUGAGGAAUAUUGAACAAUGGGUUAGCGCCUGAUCCAGCCAUCCCGCGUGAAGGACGACGGCCCUAUGGGUUGUAAACUUCUUUUGUAUAGGGAUAAACCUACUCUCGUGAGAGUAGCUGAAGGUACUAUACGAAUAAGCACCGGCUAACUCCGUG